rnacentral:rRNA from 1 species
UUGGGCACUCUAUUGUGACUGCCGUAGAUAAUACGGAGGAAGGUCGGGGAUGACGUCAAAUCAUCAUGCCCUAUAUGACCUGGGCUACACACGUGCUACAAUGGGGUGAACAACGGAAGCAAGCCAGCGAUGGUAAGCGGACCCCUAAAAACACCUCUCAGUUCAGAUUGCAGGCUGCAACCCGCCUGCAUGAAGUCGGAAUUGCUAGUAAUCGCGGAUCAGCAUGCCGCGGUGAAUACGUUCCCGGGCCUU